rnacentral:rRNA from 1 species
UAGUGGCGAACGGGUGAGUAACGCGUGAGUAACCUGCCCUGGAGUGGGGGACAACAGUUGGAAACGACUGCUAAUACCGCAUAAGCCCACGAUCUGGCAUCGGAUUGAGGGAAAAGGAUUUAUUCGCUUCAGGAUGGACUCGCGUCCAAUUAGCUAGUUGGUGAGGUAACGGCCCACCAAGGCGACGAUUGGUAGCCGGACUGAGAGGUUGAACGGCCACAUUGGGACUGAGACACGGCCCAGACUCCUACGGGAGGCAGCAGUGGGGGAUAUUGCACAAUGGGGGAAACCCUGAUGCAGCGACGCCGCGUGGAGGAAGAAGGUUUUCGGAUUGUAAACUCCUGUCGUUAGGGACGAUAAUGACGGUACCUAACAAGAAAGCACCGGCUAACUACGUGCCAGCAGCCGCGGUAAAACGUAGGGUGCAAGCGUUGUCCGGAAUUACUGGGUGUAAAGGGCGUGUAGGCGGCUUUUUAAGUCUGGAGUGAAAGCCCCUUUUUCAAGGAGGGGAGUGCUUUGGAGACUGGAGAGCUUGAGUGCGGAAGAGGUAAGUGGAAUUCCCAGUGUAGCGGUGAAAUGCGUAGAGAUUGGGAGGAACACCAGUGGCGAAGGCGACUUACUGGGCCGUAACUGACGCUGAGGCGCGAAAGCGUGGGGAGCGAACAGGAUUAGAUACCCUGGUAGUCCACGCUGUAAACGAUGAAUGCUAGGUGUAGCGGGUAUCGACCCCUGCUGUGCCGGAGUAAACACAAUAAGCAUUCCGCCUGGGGAGUACGGCCGCAAGGUUGAAACUCAAAGGAAUUGACGGGGGCCCGCACAAGCAGCGGAGCAUGUUGUUUAAUUCGAUGCAACGCGAAGAACCUUACCAGGUCUUGACAUCGAGGUAAAGCGGUAGAGAUACCGUGUGGAUUCGUCCGACCGAAGACAGGUGGUGCAUGGUUGUCGUCAGCUCGUGUCGUGAGAUGUUGGGUUAAGUCCCGCAGCGAGCGCAACCCUUAUGAUCAGUUACUAACGGGUGAAGCCGAGGACUCUGAUGAGACUGCCGGGGACAACUCGGAGGAAGGUGGGGAUGACGUCAAAUCAUCAUGCCCCUUAUGACCUGGGCUACAAACGUGCUACAAUGGCGGCCACAAAGAGGAGCGAGACUGUGAAGUUGAGCGGAUCUCAAAAAAGCCGUCCCAGUUCGGAUUGUGGGCUGCAACCCGCCCACAUGAAGUUGGAGUUGCUAGUAAUCGCGGAUCAGCAUGCCGCGGUGAAUACGUUCCCNGGGCCUUGCACACACCGCCCGUCA